UACGUAGGGUGCAAGCGUUGUCCGGAAUUAUUGGGCGUAAAGAGCUCGUAGGCGGUCUGUUACGUCGGCUGUGAAAACCUAGGGCUCAACCCUGGGCUUGCAGCCGAUACGGGCAGACUAGAAUUCGGUAGGGGAGACUGGAAUUCCUGGUGUAGCGGUGAAAUGCGCAGAUAUCAGGAGGAACACCGGUGGCGAAAAGCGGCGCACUGGGACCAA
rnacentral:rRNA from 1 species